CCCUCUCCUACCUCCACCGCUCAGAGUCCAGAACCCUCCUGCUCCUCCUCCGGCGGCGACAGCAGCGGGCGGCGGGGAUGAGCACGUGGAGCUAAGUCGUCACGGCGCACUAGCCGCCCCUGCGUCGGCAACUUCACCAGCCCUCACUAGCUCGACCUCGCCGUGGCGUACUCACCCGCACAACCCCUCUCUCCGCUCCCUCCCUCGAAUCCCCAGUCUAGUAGGGUUCAGCUCCCACCCGGAUCCGCGUAUUAAUUCCUGCCAUACUCACCUUGGCCUCCUUUCUGCGUUCGAAUUCCCGGGGCCCUAGGGUUUUGCUCCCAGCUAGAGGCGGGCGCCUGAUUCAUUCCUCUCCGGCGAGUUGUUUUUUCUGAUUGGCUUUCUGGGAGGAUCUGAGGUCAUGAGUGCAGGUGCACAGCACUACUGCAUACAGUAUUUCUCUCGGUAAUCAGUAUCCUUCUGAAAGUUCUUCUGUAGUCCGAUUCCACCUUCCAGUCUGGUUCGGAGCUAUAUAUAUAUAGGACUCCUCAAUUGAACUCUGCGAAAAUCGAUGGAGAAAGCUUCUGUUUCGGAUGAUUCUCCAGAUUCGAGCGCCGAUUGCGAUUGGUCCCAGCUUCAGACUGAUCUGCUCCUCCAGAUCUUUGGCAUUCUUGAGAUCCCUGAUCUCUUCAGCUCAGGUGUGGUCUGUCGAUCCUGGCACCUCAUUUAUCUGGAGGCCCGCCGUCUCCGGCGGUGCUCGCCGAACCAGAGCCCCUGCCUUGUUUACUCACCCGGCAACCGUGACGCUAACACGGUCACCCUGCAUAACAUGUCCACCAACAAGCUUUACCACGUCACUCUAUCGGAGCCUGCCUUCUGCACACGCCACGUCAUGGGCUCCUCCUACGGCUGGCUUAUCACUGCGGAUGAGCGGUCGAAUCUCAUACUAGUCAACCCUGUAACCAGAGCUCAGAUAACUAUGCCUCCCCCUGAAACCAUGAACAAUGUUAGACUGCGCUACACUGAAGAGGGCGUGCUAGAUGGAUACGAUGUUCUUUACAUGGAUCUCUUCUCUCGGGAUUUUGACAAUGAAAUGGAGCCGUACCAUCUUACACUUGAAGAAGCCCGCUUCUACCUCUAUGCGAGGGUCGUUCUUUCUUGUGAUCCCUCCCAUGGAAACUGCACAGUUCUCGUAGUACAAUUGCCAAAGGAUCAACUCUCUUAUACUAGGGUUGGGGACACCAAAUGGACCUGGAUUGAUGCAAAUCCAAAUUGUAGGGCUUAUCAAGAUAUACUUUAUAACAGUAAUGAUGGUUUGUUUUAUGGUGUUCGUGGUAGGGGUCAGGUUGAUACUAUUAAUCUUAAUGGACCUUCCGCUGAAGUGAAAGUUAUUUUGAAGCCGAUCAUAUCCUAUCAAGCGCAUAGUAGAUAUAUUGUUCAAGCACCAUGGGGAGAUUUUUUCCAGAUAUGGAGACAUGAUAAAUAUAAUAAGGAGAAUGGGAGAAAGGACCGGGUUGCAGACAAGUUUUUCGUGUACAAGAUUGAUUUUGUUGAACAAAAGCUCGUCCAAACAAAUAACAUCCAAGAUCAUGCAAUGUUCAUUGGUUACAACAGUUCAUUCAUGCUUCCAGUGAAAGACUUCUCUACGUUGAUUCCCAACAGCAUCUACCACACAGAUGACUUGCUGCAUUAUAUUUUCUGUCACAGAUUUGGUCUUAGGCAGGCCGUUGUCUUUAAUAUGAAAGAUAGCAGUUUCAUUGAGUUAUCGCCCCCUAGUUCAGAUUCAAGAUUAAACUGGCCACCCUCGGUUUGGAUUCAACCAUCACUUACUUGAGAUUAUUCUUGCAAAUAUCCAGUGAAUGGAACACUGUUUAUCAAGGCCUUCAAAUAUAGAGGCCCUACUUGGAAUUAGCUGCCUAAAUGGCACACAACUGACUCAUGCCUAUUUUAAGGUCCUGCCAGUAAUAAACCAGGCCUGUUUUCAAGGCACCAGAGCAUUCACAUCUUAAGGUUCACAUCUUGGAAAACAAACUUAUCUUGAGAAGGUGCAUCCCUUGGUCAUCACAACAGUUCAAAUAACAAGGAUAGAGCCUCUGCUGCGUCUAUUGUUUUAGUUGGUUCAAGUGAGGAACUCGGGAUAUCAAUAACUGUUCGUCAGGCAAGUGUAAGGAAACUUUUCGUUUGGUGUACCACCCAUGCCGAUGAAUAUCUUUAGUUUAUGCAGACAGUUUGAUCACUACUAGUCCACUGUUUCAGCAAAGGUUUAUUGUUGAUGGAAUUGAAACUUUGGUCAGGAUAGGUAUCCCAGUUAACGCUGCUAUCUCCUUGUGAUGGAACUGUUUGUUCUUUCGUCAUUAUAGAUGGACUUAUUGGAGAAAAUUUUGCAUUCAAGCAAAUCUUUCCUUUGCUCAGGAUUCUUGUUUAUAAUCUCAUGUAUCGAUUCCUCCAAGAUGAGUAAUCCAGAGCGAUGACAUAGUUGGAACUUC